AGAAUCAACGCUGGCGGCGUGCCUAACACAUGCAAGUCGAACGAGAAAGUGGAGCAAUCCAUGAGUAAAGUGGCGCACGGGUGAGUAACACGUGACUAACCUACCCUUGAGUGGGGGAUAACCUAGGGAAAACCUGGGCUAAUACCGCAUAAUACCUUCGGGUCAAAGGAGCAAUUCGCUUAAGGAGGGGGUCGCGGCCGAUUAGUUAGUUGGCGGGGUAAUGGCCCACCAAGACUGUGAUCGGUAUCC
rnacentral:rRNA from 1 species